rnacentral:rRNA from 1 species
UGGGGAAUUUUGGACAAUGGGGGCAACCCUGAUCCAGCCAUCCCGCGUGUGCGAUGAAGGCCUUCGGGUUGUAAAGCACUUUUGGCAGGGAAGAAAAGGCGCAGGUUAAUACCCUGUGCUGCUGACGGUACCUGCAGAAUAAGCACCGGCUAACUACGUGCCAGCAGCCGCGGUAAUACGUAGGGUGCAAGCGUUAAUCGGAAUUACUGGGCGUAAAGCGUGCGUAGGCGGUUUGGCAAGAAAGAUGUGAAAUCCCAGGGCUUAACCUUGGAACUGCAUUUUUAACUGCCAGGCUAGAGUAUGUCAGAGGGGGGUAGAAUUCCACGUGUAGCAGUGAAAUGCGUAGAGAUGUGGAGGAAUACCGAUGGCGAAGGCAGCCCCCUGGGAUAAUACUGACGCUCAGGCACGAAAGCGUGGGGAGCAAAC